GACGAACGCUGGCGGCGUGCCUAAUACAUGCAAGUCGAACGAGAAUUUUUUACACCGAGUGCUUGCACUCACCGUAAGAAAUUCGAGUGGCGGACGGGUGAGUAACACGUGGGUAACCUGCCCAAAAGAAGGGGAUAACAUUUGGAAACAAAUGCUAAUACCGUAUAACCAUGAUGACCGCAUGGUCAUUAUGUAAAAGGUGGUUUUGCUAUCGCUUUUGGAUGGACCCGCGGCGUAUUAACUAGUUGGUAGGGUAACGGCCUACCAAGGUGAUGAUACGUAGCCGAGUUGAGAGACUGAUCGGCCACAAUGGGACUGAGGCACGGCCCAUACUCCUACGGGAGGCAGCAGUAGGGAAUCUUCCACAAUGGGCGCAAGCCUGAUGGAGCAACGCCGCGUGAAUGAAGAAGGUCUUCGGAUCGUAAAAUUCUGUUGUUAGAGAAGAAUAUGAGUAAUAGUAACUGAUUAUUCACUGACGGUAUCUAACCAGCAAGUCACGGCUAACUACGUGCCAGCAGCCGCCGUAA
rnacentral:rRNA from 1 species